ACGACCGUAGCUCAGUUGGUUAGAGCACCACCUUGACAUGGUGGGGGUCGGUGGUUCGAAUCCACUCGGUCGUACCA
rnacentral:tRNA from 77 species